CCACAGUCGAGCCCCACCGAGCAGAACUUCUCACGCAUCUCCGAGAUCACCUGAAAACCUGCAACCAUGAGCGACAAGCCCGACAUCUCUGAGGUGGAGUCAUUCGACAAGUCCAAGCUGAAGAAGACGGAGACGCAGGAGAAGAACCCGCUGCCCACGAAAGAGACCAUCGAACAGGAGAAGGCCUCAUCAUGAAGCCCCUCCCCUGCCGCCAUGCACUGUACCCCCCCCUCCCCCGCACCGCCUCGUCUUCAGUCACUUCCCCUCAGCGUAUAACCCCUCAAACCAAUGCACAGCCUGAUGCCUUCGCCAGGGGCGGUCGGCCCCGCCCCCUCCCACCUGGACGUCUCCAACCGGACUGUCAGCACCGUCUGAGGGGCGGGGCCUGACCUACGACCCAGGAAGCCCGUCUCACCAAAAACCUUCACUCCAGCUUCCUGUGGCUGCUUCUGUGGCGCCGCGGCGCCGAGCUUUGUCUGUUUUUCUGAUCUGUGGAUCCGUUGGUGGCCCAAAUGUAAAUCUAGAAUCUGAGUCUGGAUUCCAUCUGGAUCUAGGAGAUCCCACCGGACCUCUGCUGGGCUUGUCACUUCCUGUGGCCCCGCCCCCUGCCGUCACUGAUCUGGUGGUGGGGGGGUUGGUUCUGAAAUGAGGAACAUCCUGAUGGGUUCUGUGUUCUGAUUCAAACUGUAAAUCAUGUUCUGUAAAUUCACCCUCCUCCCCCAGCAGCUGCCACAAACCGUCACCAGACGCUGAAAAACCGUCAGAUGUUGUAAUAAAAGAAUUUGUUACUAAGCA